UAAACUCGGCAACGGAUAUCUCGGCUCUCGCAUCGAUGAAGAACGUAGCGAAAUGCGAUACUUGGUGUGAAUUGCAGAAUCCCGUGAACCAUCGAGUCUUUGAACGCAAGUUGCGCCCCAAGCCUUCUGGCCGAGGGCACGUCUGCCUGGGUGUUA
rnacentral:rRNA from 1 species